rnacentral:rRNA from 1 species
AACGAACGCUGGCGGCAUGCCUAACACAUGCAAGUCGAACGAGACCUUCGGGUCUAGUGGCGCACGGGUGCGUAACGCGUGGGAAUCUGCCCUUGGGUUCGGAAUAACAGUUGGAAACGACUGCUAAUACAGGAUGAUGACGUAAGUCCAAAGAUUUAUCGCCCAAGGAUGAGCCCGCGUAGGAUUAGCUAGUUGGUGAGGUAAAGGCUCACCAAGGCGACGAUCCUUAGCUGGUCUGAGAGGAUGAUCAGCCACACUGGGACUGAGACACGGCCCAGACUCCUACGGGAGGCAGCAGUGGGGAAUAUUGGACAAUGGGCGAAAGCCUGAUCCAGCAAUGCCGCGUGAGUGAUGAAGGCCUUAGGGUUGUAAAGCUCUUUUACCCGGGAUGAUAAUGACAGUACCGGGAGAAUAAGCUCCGGCUAACUCCGUG